AGGACAUAGAGAAAAUAUUUCUCAAAGGAGAUAAGGAAUAUGCUUUUGAUGUGAUCAAAUGUUCCUUGAGGAAAACAUGUGUUAAUAAAAAAGUCAGUGAGAGUAUUAUCAUGAUCCUCGUAUUGUACAUGGAUGACAUCCAUCUAUUUAGAAAAGUUGUUUCUAUGCUAACAUCGGUUUAAAUUAGUUAUCCAAACAAAUUCUCCA
rnacentral:lncRNA from 1 species